rnacentral:rRNA from 1 species
CCUACGGGUGGCUGCAGUCGAGAAUCUUUGGCAAUGGGGGCAACCCUGACCAAGCGACGCCGCGUGCGGGAUGAAGGCCUUCGGGUUGUAAACCGCUUUUCUAGGGGAUGAAGUGCCAGGGGGUUCUCCCCUUGGUUUGACAGAUCUUAGGAAUAAGCUCGGGCUAAGUUCGUGCCAGCAGCCGCGGUAAGACGAACCGAGCGAACGUUAUUCGGAAUUACUGGGCUUAAAGGGUGCGUAGGCGGCGUGGGAAGUGGGGUGUGAAAGCCCUCAGCUCAACUGAGGAACAGCGCUCCAAACUACCACGCUCGAGGGAGACAGAGGUCAGUGGAACUUCGGGUGGAGCGGUGAAAUGUGUUGAUAUCCGAAGGAACACCGGUGGCGAAAGCGACUGACUGGGUCUCUUCUGACGCUGAGGCACGAAAGCUAGGGUAGCGAACGGGAUUAGAUACCCCUGUAGUCA